rnacentral:rRNA from 1 species
AACGAACGCUGGCGGCAUGCCUAACACAUGCAAGUCGAACGAGACCUUCGGGUCUAGUGGCGCACGGGUGCGUAACGCGUCGGAACCUGCCCUUAGGUUCGGAAUAACUCCCCGAAAGGGGUGCUAAUACCGGAUAAUGUCUUCGGACCAAAGAUUUAUCGCCUUUGGAUGGGCCCGCGUUGGAUUAGCUAGUUGGUAGGGUAAAAGCCUACCAAGGCGACGAUCCAUAGCUGGUCUGAGAGGAUGAUCAGCCACACUGGGACUGAGACACGGCCCAGACUCCUACGGGAGGCAGCAGUGGGGAAUAUUGGACAAUGGGCGAAAGCCUGAUCCAGCAAUGCCGCGUGAGUGAUGAAGGCCUUAGGGUUGUAAAGCUCUUUUACCCGGGAUGAUAAUGACAGUACCGGGAGAAUAAGCUCCGGCUAACUCCGUG